AAGAAGUCAGGCCAGAUUAAGCCAUAGCACGGAAAGAGCUAUGCUGCCUGUGAGCCCCGUCCAAGGACGUAAAAUGAAGUCAGGCCGAAAGCCACGGAUUGAGCAAGCCGUGCUGCCUGUGGCUCCAUCGUGGGGAUGUAAAAACCCGGGAGGCUGUGACCCAUGGAAGCUGUACGCAUGGGGUAGCAGA
rnacentral:lncRNA from 1 species